UACGGGGGGGGCAAGCGUUGUUCGGAAUUACUGGGCGUAAAGGGCUCGUAGGCGGCCAACUAAGUCGGACGUGAAAUCCCCAGGCUCAACCUGGGAACUGCGUCCGAUACUGGAUGGCUUGAAUUCGGGAGAGGGAUGCAGAAUUCCAGGUGUAGCGGUGAAAUGCGUAGAUAUCUGGAGGAAUACCGGUGGCGAAGGCGGCGUCCUGGACCGACAUUGACGCUGAGGAGCGAAAGCUAGGGGAGCAAACGGG
rnacentral:rRNA from 1 species